ensembl:sense_intronic 1110028F11Rik RIKEN cDNA 1110028F11 gene
UUCAGACUGACUCGUCGGUGAGCAGAGCCAUUUCUUUGAUAGGUGUUGGUGGGGGGGCGCUUUUUGCAAUGUUGCUUGGCUCCCCACACCGAUCCUGAGAGAGGACUAGGUCACUAGGAAGAAAGUCUUCCUGGAAAAGUGAAGCUCAGGCCCAUCCCGCACCGUUCUUCCAUCCUGAAUGUAAAUGUGAUCCAUGAUACCGCCCAGGAGCAGGGAGACUGGGAGCAACCAAGUUUGAACCACAGAGUGUUACCCGUCCCCAUUCAACAGAUGGCAUCUACACGAUGGCCUGAGAGGACUUAGUUGCACCGGUCCAUUUGGAGACAGCACCUGCCCCUUCUGAGCUUUUCAGCUACAAAGGAAGCUGGCUGGAGAAGCCAGCA